rnacentral:lncRNA from 15 species
CACAAAUCAGGUGAGAUUGCGUAGAGCAGAUAUAAAACAUGUGAGCGUGUGAAUUAUGUUUGAUUUGCAGAUGAUGUCAGUAACAUAAUAUUACAUUAUACACUGAACAGGAAAGAGUGGAAUCAUAUUGUUUUGUUAAAGCAAAUAUGAGUGUAUUUUUCUAACAAAUGUUAUUUCUUUUCAAUAUUUUAGAGGAUGAAGAUGUCAGCAGUUCAACACCAGUUCCAAUUCAAAGUGUUUUGAUUGGUGUAGCUAUAGUCAUCAUUGUAACUGGAGUUAUUCUGGGAUUAAUCUACAGGAAAAAAUGUAAUGGAUGCUGUUCAAGGUCAGCAACAUCUGGAUUAUCUAUGUGUCAACCUCCUGGCUCUCUGGACCAAGAUGACCCUGAUGACCUCUACAGAAGCCUUCAGUACCCAAGAAGUGAUCUCUACCAAACUAUCUCAAUCCAGCCAGCAAAAUAGUGACUGUCCACUUGGAUAAAAUGGAAAAAUAGACAAAAGAGAGACUGAUCCAAAUUGCAAAAUGUACACAGUUCUAUGUAAAGGUGUUUCUUAUAUUUUUUUCCCCCCAAAAUACUGAGACUGAAGUUUGUUAAAACACAUCUGUAUGUGAAUGUAUCUGUGUCAUUGGAACUGUAUGAAGAAUAAAUAUCCCAAAGACAUUGCAGUCACACAAACUACGUUACAGUUUGUUUCUUCAUUUGAACAACUAUAAUUCACUUUCAUCACUUACAGUUGUAUCAAGUUCUAACAGUGCUGUGUGAAUAAGACACUGGUUUCAAGCUGCAAACAACAUGCUGCUUUCUGUGUACAGCUCAAGCUCAGGCCUCUCAGUAUGAGAUCACCCCAAAGACAUACUUCGGUUUCAGCAGGUCAUGUGAUCUUUAUUGUCACUAACCAUGUGAACUGUAAGCAGUGCAGGCAGUAGUUAAUAUUGGUUGGACUCUUAGUGGAUCUAGCUCAAACUGUAGUCUGAAGACCUGAUGUUUGAUGAUCUGUAAUCUUACUGUAGACACAUAUAACACAGUAAUCUGUCUGUAUUUAUUAAUUUGCUACAGUUUUACCUUUCAGAGAGUCCUUCUGUAGCAGCACUUCCUUUACAGGAGAGUUCACGCCACCUAGCUGUGAGACUUUGAGGUUUAUGAACAGUACUUAGAGGUCUGUGCGUCCUCCCUUCAGUACAGCAUGUUGUACUCUACCAGCAGCAGUGACAUUGUUGUAUAGACGUCUCAAACAGUAUGGAUAGAUGGAAACUGUGGUUCGUUGUCCUCCUGACUCUAACUUAUUGUAUCAGCAGCACAGGUACUGUAGAUACCUUUUAUAAUUUGACUUAUACAAGACGUUUUUGUUUUGUUAAUCAUUCUGGCUUUGGUUUAAAGAGAACAACAUUUUUGUGCAGUGAAAACUGUUAUUGUGUAUAAAUACUAACUCAGUGACUGUGUUUCAUGUUGCUUUGAUCUGUGAUUGAUUGCAGCAACUCUUGUGAAGCUUUCAAAAAUCAUUGGGAGCAAACCAGAUGUGACUCCAAUCUGCAACAAUGAAAAAGAGAAGAUCAUCACACUUGUAAUAUGUAAGAUCAGAACAGAGAUGAGAGGAGAAGAGUGCCGUCUGACAUAUGAUCUUCGAAAAGGUUUUAUACAUGAAUGUGACUCCAGAUUCACACUUAUAACGGAGAAUCAAACUAUGUUUCUCCACCUGACCAAUUUAUCACCAGUGGAUAGUGGGAACUUCACCUGUGAGUGUUCACAUGUUGGUGGAACAUAUAUUCUCCAUCU